rfam:Myotis brandtii contig319282, whole genome shotgun sequence.
GGCCGUUCUUGGUGACGCAGCCCGGAAUUGGGCUCCCUGCUUUCUGAUUCCAGGUGCGUCACCCAAGAACCGCC